UAUCAUCACUAUCUCAUAGCAGAAGGCUUAGUGCAGUUCCUGGGAUGUAAGUACUCCACAAGUAUUGAUGAUGGUUAUCAUGAUCGCAUGUUUGGGCCUGGAGUACCUUUUGUGGUCACAUGGUUUAAAACCUAGGUCAUAUGGCAUGUCAGCAACGCCAAGACCAUUCUUCCUGUGGAUGGGGGCUCAGUGGGAGCAAUCUAGUGGAAUGGGAAUAACACAGGCUUUAGAAUCAGACAAGCCCUUGGGUCUUUCCGUGAGGGAGUCCACACAACUGUAGCACAUCCCACUUUCCA
rnacentral:lncRNA from 1 species